CCUACGGGAGGCAGCAGUGGGGAAUAUUGCGCAAUGGGGGCAACCCUGAUGCAGCAACGCCGCGUGAAUGAAGAAGGCUUUCGGUUUGUAAAGCUCUAUCCGCAGGGACGAAGAUAGUGAUGCUUGCGUAGGAAUCCGCCACGGCCAACGACGCCCCAGCAGCGGUGGUACUACGUAGGCGGCCAUCGUUAGCCGGAUUUACGGGGUGAAAAGGGGGCGUAGGCGGGAAAGCAAGUCAGGAGUGAAAACCAUGGGCUCAACCGGUGGACUGCUUUUGAAACUGUUCGGCUGGAGUGCAGGAGAGGCAGACGGAAUUCCUCGUGUAGCGGUGAAAUGCGUAGAUAUUAGGAGGAACACCAGUGGCGAAGGCGGUCUACUGGACUGCAACUGACGCUGAGGCGCGAAAGCGUGGGGAGCAAACAGGAUUAGAUACCCGGGUAGUC
rnacentral:rRNA from 1 species